rnacentral:rRNA from 1 species
AUUGAACGCUGGCGGCAGGCCUAACACAUGCAAGUCGAACGGUAACAGGAAGCAGCUUGCUGCUUCGCUGACGAGUGGCGGACGGGUGAGUAAUGUCUGGGAAACUGCCUGAUGGAGGGGGAUAACUACUGGAAACGGUAGCUAAUACCGCAUAACGUCGCAAGACCAAAGAGGGGGACCUUAGGGCCUCUUGCCAUCGGAUGUGCCCAGAUGGGAUUAGCUAGUAGGUGGGGUAACGGCUCACCUAGGCGACGAUCCCUAGCUGGUCUGAGAAGAUGACCAGCCACACUGGAACUGAGACACGGUCCAGACUCCUACGGGAGGCAGCAGUGGGGAAUAUUGCACAAAGGGCGCAAGCCUGAUGCAGCCAUGCCGCGUGUAUGAAGAAGGCCUUCGGGUUGUAAAGUACUUUCAGCGGGGAGGAAGGGAGUAAAGUUAAUACCUUUGCUCAUUGACGUUACCCGCAGAAGAAGCACCGGCUAACUCCGUG